rnacentral:rRNA from 1 species
AUUGAACGCUGGCGGCAGGCCUAACACAUGCAAGUCGAACGAGUGGCGGACGGGUGAGUAAUGUCUGGGAAACUGCCUGAUGGAGGGGGAUAAAUACUGGAAAAGGUAGCUAAUACCGCAUACCAUCAGAUGUGCCCAGAGGGGAUUAGGGUGUUGGUGGGGUAACGGCUCACAAGGGCGACGAUCCCUAGCUGGUCUGAGAGGAUGACCCGCCACACUGGAACUGAGACACGGUCCAGACUCCUACGGGAGGAAGCAGUGGGGAAUAUUGGACAAGGGGCGCAAUCCGGAUGCAGCCAUGCCGCGUGUAUGAAGAAGGCCUUCGGGUUGUAAAGUACUUUCAGCGGGGAGGCGUUACCCGAAGAAGAAGCACCGGCUAACUCCGUGCCAGCAGCCGCGGUAAUUC